UACGAAGGGAGCUAGCGUUGUUCGGAAUCACUGGGCGUAAAGCGCACGUAGGCGGAUGUGUCAGUCAGGGGUGAAAUCCCGGAGCUCAACUUCGGAACUGCCUUUGAUACAGCACGUCUUGAGUCCGGAAGAGGUGGGUGGAAUUCCUAGUGUAGAGGUGAAAUUCGUAGAUAUUCGGAAGAACACCAGUGGCGAAGGCGGCUCACUGGACUGGUAUUGACGCUGAGGUGCGAAAGCGUGGGGGAGCAAACAGG
rnacentral:rRNA from 1 species